GUGUGUGUGUUUGAUGUGAGUCCAGGUGUCCACCGAGCCCAGGCAAGGACGUCAAAUCCUUUGGAACUGGAAUGAGAGGCAGUUGUGAGCCUCUUGAUAUGGGUGCUGGGAGUCAGAUUCAGGUUCUCUGUCAGAACAGUGUAUACUCGUAACCAUUGUGCCAUCUCUCCAGCCCUGAAAUGUACUAUUUUGAUAAGUGAUUUAUAGCAUGGUCUCUGAUUCCUGACACAGGUUUUAAAUCCUCUGGCAUUUUUUUUAGCAUGUUCUUGGUCAUCUGUUACAAGCCCCUUUCAUCCAUGCCUCAGUUUAUGCUAAUGAGGUGAGCCUUAGUGGAUCCUAGGGAACUUAAGAAGGAGGGUUGCCAGAAGAAUUAAUCACGUGAUUCUAUAGUUACUAUAUUCAGUUCCAAUCCCCUGUUUAUUCCUUUGGACAUGGGGGUGGGGCUAAAUUGUGAGUGUAACCAACACUGUACAAUGAUUAAAUGAAUUAAUUAAACCUCAUUUAAAAAAAAAUUCCUAAAUGAUGGAGCCCAGAGAGUUUCCAGGUUGGUGAACACACUGAGAUACCAAGAUGUGGAUCAAAGAACCAUAUCAGCCUGAUACCCCAUUCCCAUAUCCUGCUCUGUGUGUCUAUUACUGUUGGCUACCUGGAGUUGAAUUUUGACAAUUAUCUAAUAGAAAGAACACUUUACAGAGAACCAAUUUUGUUAAGCGAUUGUUGCCAAGAAGGGAGCUGUGGAAACCCCCAAAUCUUGAGAUAGUCAAUAAGAAAUAUCAGUAACUCAGACAACAAUUGACAUUUGACCCCAAAAUUUUGAGAUAGUCAACCAGAAAUAUCAGUAUCUCAGACAGUGAUUGGCAUUUGAGAUGGAAGAGUAUUUGUCUCUUGGUCUAGGGUGACUGAGCCCUUAACCUACAGGGGUCAGCACUAACUCCAAGUAGUGUCAUAGUUGAAGAAAACAGUAAUCACAAGUUGGUGUCCAUUGAGUUAGAGAAUGACUGUAUGUGGAGGAGAACCCCACAAAAGAAGGACCAUCCACUAGUGACCUAUCCUACCCUUUUCCCCAACUCCCCACCACCAGUGGGUCAGAAAACAAGUGUCACCCACAUCUCUGACAGCUUACCUGGACAGACCUCCGGUGUGAGAACCCUUACAAAUCACACUCACCGGCUCUUCUCCAGAUCUUCACCAGUCAAGACUACUCAGCACCUCACUGUGGAUGGUGGAUGGGAUGAAGAGCAGGUGCUGCAGAGGACCAAGUCCAUGAGGGGGCGGGCUCAUGAUCACAGUCUUCCAAAGGUGGAAGUUCACCUCCCUGAUUUCCUCAGUAGGAAAAGGAGCAUUUCCACUCCUCCUGUACGGCUUCCAUGAAGCUCUGUCAUUAUAGUCUGAGACACAAAAGGAAGAGGAGCUUGAAACUGGUUGUGUAGAACGUAGACUCUGAAGCCAUUAACCUGCAUGUGGAAGUUGUUCUCAGCCUCACACAAAUGGGGAAAAGCUGAGGAAUUUAAGAGAAGGACGAUGGACGACACCAUCACCUUUUGCUGUCAUUGGUACCCUGGGAGACUGAACCUCUGGGAUGAUUUCCUGACUUUUCAGUAAACAUGAAAGGGGACCUUCCACAUUUCCAAUUCAUUCAGGAAGGAUUUGGUUAGCACCUACUAUGAGGCUAACCUUCAAAAUACUGACAAUGUAGUAUUAUGGCCAAAUCAAGGGCUUGGAAGAUGGUGAAGCUGGUACAGCACUUGCCCUGCAAGCACAAGGGCCCAAGUUCAAUUUGCAAAGAGCACAUAAAAUAAACAACAACAACAACAACCAAACCAAACCAAAACCAAAACUUCAAGUGUGACGACACAUCCUUUAAACCUAGCUAACAGGAGGUGAAGAAAGAUGGAUCUCUGAGGCUCACUGAUUUGUCAAUCUAGCCUACUUGGCAGUGAAAAUGAGAACUCAGCUCUGGGUAACAUCAUGACUUUGAAGAAGUGACGGUUUCGUGUGUGCAUACAAGACAUUCUGGUCACACUAAACCUUCUACCCAUUUUCAUCUUCCUGCUACUGCUCUCUCUCAAAUCCUCCUACCUCCCACCAAAAAAAAACCCUUUCUCAACUUUUGUUUUAAUUUUGCUUUUGCUUUGUCACCCACUGGGUUUACUCAGGACUGGUUUUUACCAGAACUGGGCAGUAAGACUCUAUCGCUGAAGACACCACACAUCUUGGUUGCAGAAUACAGAGAAAUCAUAGAACUGAGCUGGAACAUUCCUUCUUGCUCUAGUCCUGAUGGCACUGGAAGUUCUUGCCCAGUCAACCAGUAGGUAUCAGAGGACUCUUGGAAUCACCACGUCCUGGAAGGGAUGGUCUGGACUGUAGGGUGACCUGUCCUCCUGCAGAACAAGAGAGCUCACAGUUCUUCAGGGCACAGCCCAUCACUGCAGUGAAGUCGAGGCAGCAGGAACGCAUCCACAACUGGAAAGCAAAGAGCUUGGAUGUUUGUACUCAACUCCUAUUCUCCAUUUCAUCAGUCCGUGGCUUCAAGACCUGGAAAUGGCACUGCCAACAGACUCCGUUUUGGGAUGUCAGAGGUGGUGUUGUCCUGGUCUCCUCUCUCACCCGGGAGCAAACCUAGGAUUCUCAGUAGGCAUUUGCCUUCCUUUGACACAGAUCUGACCAGCCAGCCCCAGAACACACCCUUACUGGCUCUGAGGAAUCUGCCAGCUGCUGCCUCCAACAUUUUUUUUUUGCUAGAAAGUCUAUACUUUUCUCCUUAUUCCUUCUGGUCCAACUACCCUACUCAGAUGUAUAAUAUCUCAUUUUGGAGAGAAAAAAAAAUAGGUUGCAUCCAAAAGAGCUGACCGCUGUGUGUUUCCUGACUCUCCGUGCUACACCUGACAAAUGAGUCACCCAGGCCUUCCAUGUCCCAAGUGGGGGUCUGGCGGCCAAGGCAUCCUCGGUCAUCCCACCUGCCUGGCGUCUAGGACCAUGAUGAAUUGUCUCCAAGCCCAGCCUCAGAUUGUUUUUUAACAUUUAAUUUAGUUUCUUCCUGUGCUUGGAUGAACAUGGCCACGUUAUGGAUUUCUGUUCUAAUGUACACCAGCAGGCUGGAAGAACAAGCCUCAGCAAGCUGUGGAAAUUAGAGAGACUGAAUCAAUAGGCAAGGUCACGACCCCUGGCUCGGAUUCCAUACGGUGUCCUGAAAUUUUCUCCCCUGAACACCCUCCUGCCGCUUCUAAUGUGAGCCCACGUGUGAUCCCAGAGCAAGUCAUGUCAACAAGCCUGUGCCCAGCUCUCACGUCUCCAAGAUGACACUGCCUCAUCAUAGAUACUAAAAAAAAAAUUUGUGUAAAUAACAGAAUGCCUGAGCAUCUCAGCCUUUUGCUUCAUGUGCAGUUUGUUAACUCCGUUUGCCAAAAGACCCUUUUGGGGGAGGAUAGAUGGAUGAGGACAAAGAGACAGACGACCUGCCAAUCCUAGGGCGCACCUCUAGGAAAUGAUUCCGGUCAUCCACAAGCUUCAAACAAAGAGAAUCUCCUGGGCUUGUGCCCUGAAAUUUUCAUGAGGCAGUGAAUGGUCAAAAGCAACCUGAUUGAAACUGUGAGAAACAUAUCUCUGAGCUCAGCGAGACAGGCUAGGAAGGCAAUGUUUUGAACAUGUAUUUUAAAAGUUAGCAGGUCCGUUUAAGCCUUCUCAGCAUACAGGACCCACAUUCCCAAACACAGAGCAAGAUUCUCAACAGACCAGUUUCCCACGGAGAUUUAGAAUCUAGCGCUGAUCAGAGUUAUAAUUUACCCGAGUAGGAAUAACUAAUGCAUCAAAACUUCAAGCCUAUGAAAGCAAGCUCACGACUGGUGAUUUAUUAUAUUUACUAAUCACGAGUUCCAAAAUGAGCUGACAUCAAAAUGAUCAAUUUCGAGGGGGGGUGGCGGAAAUCACAAAGAUCUGUCUUUUAGGGAGAAGGUCUAGCAUGUGCAAAAAAUAACUUCAUAAUAAUAAGGUAGGGGCCUAAGAGGGCUGGGACAGGAAGAAAGAAAUGAAGCGCUGGAAUGUGGGUGCUGCCUUCUGUUUAUCAGUUGAGGCCACAGAGUCUGGAGAAGUCAGAUUUGUUUUAUUUGGAGAGUAAAUCCCUUAUGAGAUAAAGCUUAUGCCUAUCUCAACUCCUUAGUCCUUACAAGGUUGGGAGGACUUUCCCCACCGCAGGGGUGGUGCUCAGAACUCCUGUUUCCUUCUUGACAAACCCUCAGCCAGCCUCCAACCUUCCUAUCGUUUCACGAAUUUCCAGUGCACUGUGAUGAAGUUAACCUUCCAGGCAGAAGAUGAGCUUGUUGAAGAUGUUGCUUCAUGUUAGUGAAUGUAAGUCUUUCAGAUGAGGUCUGAAAGAAUUCUGGAAAAUUUGGAUGUUUGCUCAACUUGGGAGAUUUUUGCACAGAAGAGAAAAUCUUUUGUUUUUCCACAACUUUAUUUUGGCGUGAAAAUGCACGAACAAUUCUUCCUUGUUUUUCUGGGGUAUCUUGAGAAGUCCAUCUGCUCUCAUCCUAUGGCACUCACCUUGGUGAAAGGCCUCAGUAUACACAGCAAUCUGGUGAGGGAAUGAUGCCAAAAAAGCGAAGCAAUGACUUUCCCCUUAUCAGAGUAGACACAGGACUUGCAGUGUAGACAUAAACUCCAUGUCUGGUCACAAUGACACGUUGCAAUGGAUAUUUGGGUGCACUUAGCAAUUUAGCACCAUAAAAUAAAGAGCAAGAUUCUAACCUCGGGAGUGUUUCCUCUGAGCUGAAUAAAAUCAUUAUCUCAGUUUCUUAGGUGACUCAACUAAGAUCCUGUGGUCUACAGUUAACUAAAACACUGGACUCCUGUCUCUGACCCAAGGCUACAUCACACGCUAAGGCUCUACUCCAUAUAGGAUUCCACCCACAAAUGCAGACCUGGUUCCAAUGCCAACAUGUUUUGCAACGAAUAGUUCUGCCCCAGUUCAAGGCUUGAUCUGCUCCUCCUGUAAGACUAUGCCCCUUCACUGUAUAGAAGAAUGUUUGUCUCUUCUGGUGAUUUAAAGAUACCUAAAAGUUACUCUUUGAAAUUAGUGGCUCAGAAUAGUAGUAGGAUGAAUUUGUAUGUGAUUCUUGGGUUUGGGCAAAGUGUGAGUAGGCAACUCAUCUCUGCUGCACAUGGCUUUAACUGGGCCUUAACUCCUUCCUAUGGGGGCCUCUCUUUGUGUUCGUCAACUGGCUAUUUGGGUUUCCUUGCAACAUGGUAGCACCUGAUCUAGAUGAACAUGUCCUCCAAAGACAUGAGUCUUGGAAGGCAGAUAGCAUGUCCAUACCUUACUCUGUUUAUAUGAUGCAACCACAGCCAGAUUCAAGAGGAGAGAACGUACAACUCCUUUACAUGGGAGAACUUCGGUGUCAAAUUGCAGGAGGACCAAAUGGAAUACAACCUGCUACAUAACCUGCCUUCUGACCUUAGCUCAUGACUUUCCUCUAAGGUUCUACAUCUUAUCUCAUCUAAGCAUCCGUUUGAAGCAUAAGUCAUCACAUCCAUCAGGUCCUGAUGGGAAAGAUACUUCUUUCUAGCUCCUAGAAUUUGGCCUUGCUCCUACAGAGCCUUUCAGCUUUACAUGAAUACAUGGAUACCUUACCUCAGCUUCCGUGGCAUUAGUAGGGUGGCUUCAAGGCCAGGAACUGAAGCCCUCUCAAGUUUAAAUUACUCUCACGUCUGAUGAGAUCUUGUCUAGAAGACUCAAACUGUCCUGCAUCUUGUCUAGAAGACUCAGUUUCACUCUAAGUGAAUGUUUCUUUGUGGCCUCUGUGCGAUGAGAGCACAGUGGUUGCUUCCACUGGAGCAAGCCCCCGAAACUGUACUAUGGAUGGAAGCUACAGCUCCUUGUGGGUUGACUCAGGACCUAUGUAGUAUUCACACUGCUCCAUACUCUACUGUUGGGAGCUGUGCACUGUCCAGAUUCAGGUGAAUGAGAGAGCCCUAGCUCUACCCCCAGUGUCCACUACAAUAAGAACAGGGCAGAUGAGAAGAAUCACUGGGAACCAUCAGGAAGAUGUUGUCUGUUGGGUUGGGCUUCCUUUGGAGACCGGCGAACCUUGGUUGAGGUUGGAGACCAGAGAACCUUGGUUGAGGUAUUUACAGUGAGUCCGAUAGACCAAUCAGUAGCAUCAUGGAGGAGGUACUUAGAGUUCACGAGGCAAUAGGAAAAUCAGUUGAACCCAGGAGUUUGGAAGACAUGAGGGAGCCGGAUUGUCUCACUUUGUGGUGUAAAAAAGAGAGCAGAUGCUAAUAUUGAAGGCCGGGGGUGGCCUCUGUUCAUGCACUGUAAUUUUUGCCAGGUAACAUGAGUCAAAGCCCAUGACCCUAGCCAGAAGUCAGACCAUAUACCAACCUGACGAGGGAGGAGUAGGGGCAAAUAUAAGAAUUUAUACCAGUUUAAAACCAGAGGAUGGGAAGAAAAGGCCCCGAAUAUAGACAUAUUCAAAGACUGAGGAGCCUUUGCACCCACAGAAAGUAAAUGUGAUGGUCUGUGGGGAGGAGCUUUGCAAACUGUAGAGCAGUUCCCAGUACUGUUGACCCUUAAGCUGAACCUUGCUGAACAAAGUAGAGUCCAUCUUGCCCCACCCCACACACCCAUUGCUUACAUUUGGUGUGAUCACCUGUCCAUAAAGUCUUUGUCUGUGUGCAUUUCUUGCAAGACUCCUUCUUAGAGUUCUUUCUCUGUGCAUCCAUUUGGUUAGAGUAUUGGGUCGUCACCAACGGCAUUAGCUAUUAGCAGACAUGGCCUCACUACAUGCUGCUCUGGGCCUCCUGGUUGUCCUCUUCUCAUGGGUUUUCCAUACCAGGCGCCUUUGCUGCUGCCCUUCACUGGGCUAGCUUCCAACAGUACCUUGCUCUGGGGCAGCAUUGCUGGCAAAUGCAUAAUUCAGGGGUUUGUACUUUGCAUCUAUUAAGCGUGGCACCAGACAUAGAAAUGACACAAUGCCCGGGCUUUUGCUUAGAUCGUGUUUUUCCUGAGUGAAGCUGAGCAUUCAAACCAAUUUAUAGUUCCUUUGCAUAGGAGAUAAGUAUCAUAAUAGUCUUUUAAUAGACGACUCCACGGAAGCACAUUCAUUACAAGGUCAAUGUCACUGCGAAUUAUUACAAGAGCUAUACUUCAAGGGGCCUCACUCUCCACUGCUAACACUGACUACUAGAUUAUGCAUGGAGCAUAGUAGGUACUGAAGAAGAUCCAAUGAGCUUUAUUAUAUUAUCAAUAAGCAAUUAAAUGAAAUGCAACUUGAAAGCAUUUUUUUUAAAUCUUAAAAAAAUUUCAAGACUGACUUAAGACAGAAUCAUUCAAUUGGUUCGAGAGUUUAUGAAUUAUAUAGCAGGUAGGUGGGGGUUAACUGAUAUGCUUUAUUUGUUCCUAUACUGGUUGUAAAAAAAGAACCAGAAGCACAGUGGGUGCAUUUUAAUUCCCUUUGCAUAUAUCGCAGCUGAAUGUUUUAUCGAGUUAUUCAUAUUAUCCAUGUAUACAUUAAGCUCAGGGGAGUCUGUUGGUAUGCAUAUCAUUAGAUCUAUCCAAAAUAAUAAGAGUUAACAGAGUAGAGGUGUGCCAUUGGGAUUUAGAGCCUCGGUCCAUUGUCUGGCUCAGUUUUCUUUCUAUUGCACUGUAAUAUUAGCUAAUAAAACAGCAAUACUGGUUA